GUCCAUUUUAGGCCGGGCUGCACUGACAUCCAACCUGCAAUAAGCACAAGAUUCUUUGGCAAGAAAUUGACAGGAUACUUACAUUCAAAUGUAGAAUGGUCACAACCCAGAAAAGACCCUGAUCUGAACAACCAAAGGAUUCAGGAUCUUACCCAGUCUGACCAGAAGGCUUACUCCCAUUUACCUGAAAAUGAAACCAGGACUAUAACUGCAUCACCAUGGAUACAGGAUUUCAGGGGUCACAGAAUCAGAUCAAACCACCAUAUGAUGAAAGCAGAAAAAUCCCUGAUUAAAAAACUCUGUAAACAGUUGGAAAAGCCCAGCAACAGCAAAUUCUGUGGAGUAGAAACCAAAGCAAGAGAUUCUAUCUUCAUUGCCAUCUUGACCCAUAAGUGGCGCUGCUGGCCAGCAGCAUUGCUGCUCUGAAUCCCAUCCCACAGGUGGCUGUUUUCCAGAGAGCAGAAAAAGGGCAGAGCAGGUACGAUUUUUAAGGUUAAAAAUUAGUAAUCUGGCUCAGAGAUAAAAAUUCAGUGAUCCAUAUUUCAGCAUUUGAAGUGGUAAAAGAGGCAAAUGCGUGGAAAGUCAGAUUUUGUUAUCUAUGAAGUUCAGGAGACAAUUUUAUGCAGAACAAAAUGCAUGAACACAGCACAAUUAUGAUUUCUUUAGGCCCCUUUAAUAUUGCAAUGAUAGUUUUAUGUACCAGGUUGCCCAUAGAAUAAUUUGUCUCUGGCCGCAGAUACUAAUAAGAAACCAAGCACAGCCAAGUGAAAUUCUGCUUUAAACACCCCAAAUCUAAUUGAUCUUUGUUUUGUAUUUACUGAAAGGCAUUAAGUCACUCAUCAGAAAAAUAUGUCCAUGUGAAAAAGUAUGGCAACAAGUGUGCUUUUUCCUCAGUUUUUUUCUUUCAUUGCAAUUGUUUGUUAAUUAUUUUUCUGUGAAAGCAAAUACUUUCACUUAGUUCACAAGAUUCCCUGGGGAAAACAUGGCACCACAAUGUGACACCAGAGAUAGCAGCGCAUAGAGGAGAGCCGAAUUCCUUUUUGAAAGCUGCAAAACAUGAUAAAAGGGACUAAAGGUUAUUGGAUUAUAA
rnacentral:lncRNA from 1 species